ensembl:lncRNA
UAUCAAUAGUGAAGUUCAGGAUUAGCUCGAUUUGGGCGUAGCCUCUGUGGUAUGUCCUUGUCCAGAAUCCCCAACAUGAGUUGGUCCCUGAUUUCCUCCAGAAUCUAAUUAGUCCAAAGGUUAACAGAUGGCUUCGGCUUUGGUGGAAACAUUAAGGUACAACAAUUGGUCACCUUUACGAGAUGUUUUGGAUGCUUCUGAGCCUGACCUGGACACAUAGUGAACCCAGGAGUGUCCCUCAGCUCUCGUUACAGAUAAACAACCUGUUAGCCAGCAGUAGCAAACCCCUGCUGCCGCUGGGUGUUGGAUUGGUGCCCUACAUGUUCCUUGCCCACCCUGCCACUGUCUUUACCAUGUCUUUAGUGUGUUGCCUGUAUCGUGAGUGGACACCUGGCCUCCAACCCCUACAAGCUUGUCCACCAGCCAGUGCCCCAUCAACAUGGAAAUUAC